CCGUCCCUCUGUCCUUUCAUCCCUGCCUGUGAUUCCAAGAUCUUCUGUGUGAGAAGGUUGAGGGAAGACCGAUGUCCCCGCUGGCUGUUGGCUGUGAUGGAAGGGGUCAGGACUUGUGUGGGCAGCUGUUGGAGGGAGCCGUGGCGGAUCGGUGGAGGUGGUGUCAUGUCUUGAAGGUGGAAGGUCCUGUUUGGCCAUCCAUGUGAGGUCAUUGUCCUUUGGAGCUUCCCUGUGUGGUGACCCAGCAUGUCCUUGGGUGGAUGUGUU